GGCUUCUCAAUUUUGUACUUUUUCCUUUCAACGUUUUCUCUCCUGGACCCAAGAAACAUCAAAGGACUUUGUAUUCUCCAGUGAAUGAAGGAUAAAAAUUAGACAUGGAGACACUUGGUUUGGCAGAGCAGGAUCCAAGCUAGAUAAAUUACAUUCCAGAAGUGGGAUUUCAGAUAACAUUCAGUGCGGAGUGCAGGAGUUGAAAUGGUGAGGGUAAACAAGGAGACAAGUUCAAAGAGGCAAGCCUGAAGACCGUGAGUUAAGAUCAUAGAGCCACAGACCAGAAGCAGCCUGCAUCCCUGAGUCCCAGUACGGAAUAAAGUGUCACCUGAACUGCUUCAGACUUUGUGGAGAUAAGUAAACAAGAACAAUUAUACCUUUUUCUUAAUGAACGGAAAGAAUCAAGGGUGUCCCUAAGGCUGUGGUGAAUACAGG
rnacentral:lncRNA from 1 species